AUUGAACGCUGGCGGCAUGCUUUACACAUGCAAGUCGAACGGUAACAGGGUGCUUGCACCGCUGACGAGUGGCGAACGGGUGAGUAAUGCGUCGGAACGUGCCGAGUAGUGGGGGAUAACGCAGCGAAAGUUGUGCUAAUACCGCAUACGUACUGAGGUAGAAAGUGGGGGACCUUCGGGCCUCACGCUAUUCGAGCGGCCGACGUCUGAUUAGCUAGUAGGUGAGGUAAAGGCUCACCUAGGCGACGAUCAGUAGCGGGUCUGAGGGGAUGAUCCGCCACACUGGGACUGAGACACGGCCCAGACUCCUACGGGAGGCAGCAGUGGGGAAUUUUGGACAAUGGGCGAAAGCCUGAUUCAGCCAUGCCGCGUGUCUGAAGAAGGCCUUCGGGUUGUAAAGGACUUUUGUCAGGGAGGAAAUCCCUAGUGCUAAUAACACUGGGGGAUGACAGUACCUGAAGAAUAAGCACCGGCUAACUACGUGCCAGCCGCCGCGGUAAGAC
rnacentral:rRNA from 1 species